GCGUUCUUUCUUCCUUUUCGGGUUCAUGAAAAUCAUAUAAUCUUUGUUUGCAGCGAUGAUGAAGGUAAUCUUCCUGAUAAAGACUUUUAUAUACAAAAUACGACAGUAAAAGAGGAUACACCAUACACAAUGUCAUGCAUGGAAUAAGAUCUUGUGGCAAUAAAGUGCAAUAAAAGUUAACAAUCCAAAAAGUUGGUCGCACGAUCCAAAUAACAAACAUCAGGAACAUUAAGAAAUAUCGCUGUAGCCUAAUUGUACUGUCACACGUGAUACAUUGCUGGUGAUGCUGUCCU
rnacentral:lncRNA from 1 species